GAGAUGAGAGUCUCACUCUGUCACCCAGACUGGAGUGCAGAGGUGCGAUCUUGGCUUACUGCAACGUCCACCUCCUGGGUUCAAACGAUUUUCGUGCCUCAGCCUCCCAAGUGGCUGGGACUACAAGUGCACACCACCACGUCCAAUUAAUUUUGUAAUUUUACUAGAGAUGGGGUUUUACCAUGUUGGCCAGGCUGGUCUUGAACUACUGACCCAUUAUUCAGUUGACGGGUGGUCUCAGCAUCCCAAAGUGCUGGGAUUACAGGCGUGGGCCACUGUGUCUGGCUGUUUGGUACAUAUAUUCUAAUGGAUCUGUAUUUCAGCAAUUCUGUACCAUGAACUCUCUCUAUAUAUACACUCUUCCUAGAUAAACUCAUUCAAUCCUACGGAUGAAUAUAUAUUGAUUAUACUGAAACUUAUUUCUCCAUGUGUGAUCUUUCCUCUGACCUCCAGAUUGUAUACAACUGCCAAAACAAUAACUAUUCUAAUGUCUUAACUGGUAUCACAAACAUAGCAAACUCCAAAGAGAAUUCAAUUACCUCUGCUUAAUCUAUUCUUCCUGUCUUUCCUAACUCAUUUUCCGCUAUCAUCAUUUACUGGGUUGGGCCCGAAAUCUAGGGAUCUUCUUGCUUAAAUCAUUCCCCAGUUUUCUCCAUCUGAGACCUGCUGGCUCUACCUUCAUAAGAGAUCUCAAAUCUGAUCACUUCUUACUAUUUCAAUCAGUACAAUCUCAAGCCAAACCAUCAUCACAUUUCACCUGGGCUAUUUCAAAGACCUCCUAGCUAGUCUCCUUAUUUCCAGUAUUGCCCUUCCCCUUUAUUCUCCAUAAAACAGUCUAAAUAUCUUAAAAUGCAGUCAGAAAUUAUCCCCUGAAUUUGGACUACCUUUCAGUGUAUUUCCUUUACUCUUAAAACAAAAUUCAAACACCUCACCACGCUUGAGAGGGCCAAUGUGUCCUGUCUCCCAAUUACCUCUCCAAUUUCAACUCCUACCAGUCUCCGUUUUCGCUUACUAUCUUCAAGCCACACUGACUUGCUUGCUGUUUCUCAAGAAGGCAAGCUUGCUCUCAUUUCAGAGUUUUUACCUAUUUCUUCUGCUUAGAAUGUUCUUUCUUAAAAUCUCGGAAUAGUUGACUUCUUGUCACUUAAGCCUCUAUUAAAAUAUUGUGUCACAAAUACCACACACCUCAUUCCUGAUCACCCUAUCAAUAAAAUGGUUACUCUUACCCUUAGGUUGCUGCCUAACUCAUUAACCUGUCAGUUUCUUCAAAUCACUUACCGUUAACUGUCUGCCACUACUACCAAAAAAAGUAUGGUCUGUUAAAAACUCACUACUGUAUUCCAAAUACCUAAAACAGUACCAGGCAUUUAAUAAUAAUAGAUAACCCUGUGCUACAUACUGUUUUAAGUGCUUUAGAUGUACUUAUUCAGUUAACCCUUACAACAACCUUGUCCAAACAGUGGGCAAGCACUUAUUGCUAUCUCCAACGAACAGAUGGAAAAAAGAGGCUGAGGGAGGUUAACCUAAAAUUUGCCCAAAGUCACAGAGCAGGCAAAUGGCACUGCCAGGAUCUGAACCCAGGCAGUCUAGCUUGACUACCACACAUACUGCCUACUGUUUCUGAUAUUAGACAUAAAGGAAACACUUUAAAAAACCUGUUAAAUGGGAUGGGCGCGGUGGCUCAUGCUUGUAAUCCCAGCACUUUAGGAGGCCAAGGCGGGUGGAUCACCCGAAGUCAGGAGUUCGAGAUCAGCCUGGCCAACGUGGUGAAACCCUGUCUCUACUAAAAAUACAAAAAUUAGCCAGACAUGACAGCAGGAGCCUGUAUUCCCAGCUACUUGGGAGGCUGAGGCGUGGUGGGUAAAUCCGAAUAAAAAUGAGAAGAGCUGCAUUCUAACUAGCUCUGCCACUUAAUGGCAUGACUGGCACUUUUCAGAAAGUUGUGCCUCACUGGAAUGUUUCAAAAAUAUGUAAAAAUAAUAUGAUCUAUAAGACAAUCAAAAACGCUUCAAAUAAGCCGCGGGUUAUAUUACAUAAUAUCCCUUAAGUCUGGCAGUGUUGGCAAUGGCAGACAACACCAUGAAACUGAAAGCAUCCCUUCAGUCUGAAACUAGCAAAAAGGCUACACAUUUACAAAGUCUCACAUCAGCUGAAAAUAAUACACCCAUCACUUCUAUCUUUGGCAUGGUGUAUUCUGACAGUGGUGGAUAGAAUGUAACUACUUGCUUUAUUAAUUAUGAGAUGACUGAAAGAGGAACUACUAACCAAGAAAUUGGUAAAGGCCUAGCACAAAUAUUUUCCCCCUAAUUUUACAGGGGCCAGAAAGACCUGAAGAAUUUCAAAACCAAGUGGGAAAUAAGAAUGGGUAACUUGUGUAUUUUUUUUUCCUGGCUUUUUUUUUCUUCUUCCGAAGUCAACAAAGGCCUCAGGGUGUCCAGAUUGCUACUGAUUCAUUCUUACCAAGUUCCUUCUGGUAAUAGUUUUCAAAAGAGGAUCUCAGUGGAGGUGCACGGUGGCGCUCCUAGCUUUCUUUUUACGGGAAGGAGGAAAGGUGCUGGGCACCAGUCGGGGAAGCUCACGCCAAGUGACCGGGACCAGAACUCGCUCUCGACCGGAGCCCCCCAAGUCUGGUGACUUGGAGGAAGGAGGAUCCCGAAUCCCAGCCAGAACUGAGAAAGCGCUCAAAGGUGAGGAAAGGUGACUUUUCCCUCAGGAAAGCCGGGAACAGCAGAGGCCCUAGCCCACGUCGCCACACCCACUCCGCGCGCGCCCCUUGCCUCCCAGGGCCGGCUCUGCUCGGCCCCGCGGCCUCUCGGGCGCCCCCAGCCAGCCGGAAAGAAAGAAGCAGAAACCCGGAGCCUGGGUCCCACCCGCGACCCCUCACCUUCGCCCUUCUCGUCCUCUCACCUGCCAGUCCCCCAGGAAGAACAGGACGCCUCUUCCCCCUGAUGCACGGCCACAGGCUCGGAUCCUUCCAUUGCCGCCUGAGACACCGCCGCCGGCUACUGGGAGGUUCUGCUCUAGCACUAAGAUAAUGCUACAGGACUGAAGAUAAUGAAAAAGACUGAAGAAAGCAGAAACAGAACAAAAAUCGGAUUAUUUCAAAGUUUCUUUCCUUGUAAAGGUUAAAACAGCAUACUUCCUUCUUAUGCCCACUAGGUUAACUAGAAUCGCCUGUUUUUUUUUAAAAAAAAAACUGGCUCAUUUUUCCAAAAUCCGCUUUAAUUACAUGGUGCUUAGCACAAGCAACUCCAUUCUGGUUUGAUCUGAUGAGGCCUAGUGUAGAAGGCUAGGCCAAAACAAUGGCCUGCCAUUACCCACACUUCUUCAUAUUUUAACCUCCAUGAAUAGAGGAUGAUUUUUUUAAAAAUAAAUACAGAAAACAAUGAUGCAUCUUAAAAUUGAGGGCGUGUUAGAUUUGAUAAAAUAUGGUGUGAAUUAUUUCAGGCGUGUAACAAGCAACCAGAUUUAACAGAUUUUAAUGUUUUGUCACAUAUGUAAAAUGGGAAAGAAAACUAGGCUAUCACAGCUUUUUGACAGUGAGGCUUUAUGUCAUAAGAAAGUAGAAUGACAUAUUGAGGAAACUUAAGGGAAAAAUGUGUACGCCAAAGAUUUUACAUUCAGCAAAACUAACUCAUAUACAAAAGGUACAAACUGUUAUCAACAAUUGAUAUAUCAAUUUGAUGAGACUAGUGUUUUCAUGAGCCCCUCCUGAAUAAUUAAUUGGAGAAAGAGUGUCUGACAAUCAGAAUUAUUACAGAA